GAUGAACGCUGGCGGCGUGCCUAAUACAUGCAAGUCGAGCGAACAGACGAGGAGCUUGCUCCUCUGACGUUAGCGGCGGACGGGUGAGUAACACGUGGAUAACCUACCUAUAAGACUGGGAUAACUUCGGGAAGCCGGAGCUAAUACCGGAUAAUAUAUUGAACCGCAUGGUUCAAUAGUGAAAGACGGUUUUGCUGUCACUUAUAGAUGGAUCCGCGCCGCUUUAGCUAGUUGGUAAGGUAACGGCUUACCAAGGCGACGAUGCGUAGCCGACCUGAGAGGGUGAUCGGCCACACUGGACCUGAGACACGGUCCAGACUCCUACGGGAGGCAGCAGUAGGGAAUCUUCCGCAAUGGGCGAAAGCCUGACGGAGCAACGCCGCGUGAGUGAUGAAGGUCUUCGGAUCGUAAAACUCUGUUAUUAGGGAAGAACAAAUGUGUAAGUAACGAUGCACGUCUUGACGGUACCUAAGCAGAAAGCCACGGCUAACUACGU
rnacentral:rRNA from 1 species